rnacentral:rRNA from 1 species
UACGAGGGACCUAGCGUUGUUCGGAAUCAUUGGGCGAAAGGGUGUGUAGGCGGCCAUGUAAGUCAGUUGUGAAAGCCCCGGGCUCAACCCGGGAAGUGCUUCUGAUACUGCUUGGCUUGAGUAUUGGAUAGGUGAGUGGAAUUCCAGGUGUAGUGGUGAAAUACGUAGAUAUCGGAGGAACACCGGCGGCGAAGGCGGCUCACUGGCCUAUACUGACGCUGAACACGAAGCGU